CUGCGAGUUCGCGGGAGAGUAAGUUAUUGCCAGGGUUUUUAUUUUAUACUUUAAACCUUGAAUUUAUUUUUUAAAUGUUUAUAUUAUUUGAAUAAAACAUUCAAAUAAUAUAAAAAAUAAUAUAUAUAUUGACAUGGAUUAAACAAAGAUAUAUAUUAUUUUAUGUUGUAUAAACAAAUUGGCAAAAUAGAGAUGGAAGAUAAAAAUAUGGUCAAAGUAAUAAGAGUCUAUGGUGAAUGCCUAGGAGCUU
rnacentral:misc_RNA from 1 species